rnacentral:rRNA from 1 species
AGUGAACGCUGGCGGUAGGCCUAACACAUGCAAGUCGAACGGCAGCACAGUAAGAGCUUGCUCUUACGGGUGGCGAGUGGCGGACGGGUGAGGAAUACAUCGGAAUCUACUUUUUCGUGGGGGAUAACGUAGGGAAACUUACACUAAUACCGCAUACGACCUACGGGUGAAAGCAGGGGAUCUUCGGACCUUGCGCGAUUGAAUGAGCCGAUGUCGGAUUAGCUAGUUGGCGGGGUAAAGGCCCACCAAGGCGACGAUCCGUAGCUGGUCUGAGAGGAUGAUCAGCCACACUGGAACUGAGACACGGUCCAGACUCCUACGGGAGGCAGCAGUGGGGAAUAUUGGACAAAGGGCGCAAGCCUGAUCCAGCCAUACCGCGUGGGUGAAGAAGGCCUUCGGGUUGUAAAGCCCUUUUGUUGGGAAAGAAAAGCAGCAGGUUAAUACCCCGCUGUUCUGACGGUACCCAAAGAAUAAGCACCGGCUAACUUCGUG